GCUGCAAGACAAAGAAGGGCGUGUUUUCACAUGAGCAAAAGGACCAAAUGCAUUAUUUUCUCAAAAUGUUUGGGCCAAGGGAGAGUUUAUAAAGAAAUAAUUCCCUCCAAGGACCCUUCGGCAUCCCAAUGCCAACUCCAAUUCCAAUUCAACUAAAGUCUCUGGCUGCCAUUGACGUCUACUAUUGCCGUUAGUGUUAAUGCAGUGCCUUCAAACCUUAGUUCCACAGGGGAAUUCUGUAUGCGAACACCACAGUAUAAUAUAAUAAUAAAUGUGAAUCCACUGUGUAUUCUAUGCAACUUUACUUGCACCAUCCUCAUAACAUUGUGCCAACAACAUAACAUGAGUAAUGGUAUGUUAUGUACACGUCACCGAGGUGUAAAAUAACGCAAGUUAUUUAUUCUAUCUUGUGCGGCCCGGUGCCAAAUAAUCCACGCACCGGUCCGCAGCCCGGGGACCACUAUAUUAACGGAUUAUGAAAUGAGUUGCGAUGAUCAAUUUGCUGUUGAUUUAGUCACGAUUUGUUGCACCUGUAGUUUCCUGAAGAUUUUGAAUGCCCACCUUACUUUGAGAACCAUAAUUUGACUUGGAUCUUGUGAUGGACUCUAUGAAUAAACUUGAUUUGGUGU